UUAAAAGUAAAAUACAGAAAAAAUGGAGUUAUCUUUUUACAAAAUUUACUUCUGGAUACUAUCUUAUGAUCAUAAAUAAGCUUCUGUCCAAGUUUGGUACAAACCCAGGAUAGUUUAAGAAAGUUAUUAAAAUUCUAAAAACUUUAACCACAGAGUGAAUGUAAUAUUUCCCCACAGAAAAACUAAGUCCAUUUAAAAGUAAAAUACGGAAAUAAUGGAUUUAUUUUUUUACAAAAUUUACUUCUGUCUUAUGAUCAUAAACAAGCUUCUGUCCAAGUUAAGUACAAACCCAGGAUAGUUUAAGAAAGUUAUUAAAAUUCUAAAAACUUUAACCAGAG
rnacentral:lncRNA from 1 species